CUGGGCAGGAAGCCAAAGAAGCAAAGAGAGACUGUAUUUAGAAAAUUCAGCUGCUCGGGAAAAAGGGUGUUGAAAACCAAGUUGUAACAGCAGCAAGGCAGAAUGUGGUAGAGGCAUCCAUGGGCAUCCAAAGGAACAAGGCAAGGCCAACAGGGAGUGGUUUGUCAUGUGGAUCCAGCCUGCCACUGCGUGGACACAGCUGUGGUUAAUUUACCGUGAAGGGAAGACAGACUGAGUGGGAACCAUUGACUUCCAGAACUUGUUCACCCAGACAGUGCAGCUGGAGAUAGGGAUGUAUGACCCAGCAUAACACCUUCACAUAAAAACAUAAAGAACGUUACUCACUUUGCUCUGAUUUUCGGUGUGCAGGCAUGAGCCCAAUGAAUCACUGAAUUAUAGAACACUGCGGCAAACUGGAAGGCUAUUCAGCCCCUUUAGUCCAUGCCAGCAGUGCCAUCAGUCCCACUGUCGAGGACAUCUACAAGAGGCGAUGUCUCAGGAAGGCAACAUCCAUCCUCAGGGACCCCCACCAUCCGGGCCGUGCCCUCUUCUUGAUGCUGCCAUCAGGCAGGAGGUACAGGAGCCUGAAGACCCACACUGCAAGGUUCAACAACAGCUUCUUCCCCAAUGCAAUCAGGUUCUUGAAUCCACCCGAAAAACCCCAACUCUACCUCGGACUGUAUUUCCCUCAAUUUGCAUUAAUGCCGUUAUGUUUCAU